UUCCAAAUAAGAAACCUUGGGCAGAGAGAUGAUUUGCAGACAUUUGACUUGGAGGAAGAAAAGGAGAGAUUUUCGGAAGUUAGAAGAAAACACAUGUAAUUUUGUGUGUCAUGCUAUGCAGUUACUGGAAUACACAAUGCACUCUCAUUUUACUCCGAUGAUCCAAUGAGGCAACUACUAUUCACAGUUGAUAAUCUAUUUCUAGAAACUUUUCUCAGCAGUCCGACACAUCUUUGCCAACCUCUCCCACUUAGAGCUGUCAUAGAUCUUCUCUCCAGAAUCAAACGAUGUUCUCACUUGUUUUGACAAGAGUGAUACACUUCUGGAUGACUCACUGUAUUUGAUGUCUGGAUGACUCAGUUAAGUAAUCUGACUAAACACAUUGACUGUAUUACGCUCCUUUUCUUCAUCAUACUAACCUAUCAACCAUAUCAAUAUUCUCAUUAUACUUUAGUAGUAAGAUAUAAUGCUACUAAUAAUAGCUAACAUCUUACA